rnacentral:rRNA from 1 species
UACGAAGGGUGCAAACGUUGCUCGGAAUUAUUGGGCGUAAAGCGCACGUAGGCGGCUUUCUAAGUCGGGGGUGAAAUCCUGGAGCUCAACUCCAGAACUGCCUUCGAUACUGGAGAGCUCGAGUCCGGGAGAGGUGAGUGGAACUGCGAGUGUAGAGGUGAAAUUCGUAGAUAUUCGCAAGAACACCAGUGGCGAAGGCGGCUCACUGGCCCGGUACUGACGCUGAGGUGCGAAAGCGUGGGGAGCAAACAGG